rnacentral:Y_RNA from 1 species
GGUUGGUCUGAGUGCAGUGGUGUUUACAACUAAUUGAUCACAACCAGUUACAGAUUCCUUUGUUCCUUCUCCACUCCCUCUGCUUCACUUCACCAGCCUUAA